rnacentral:rRNA from 1 species
AUUGAACGCUGGCGGCAUGCUUUACACAUGCAAGUCGGACGGCAGCAAAGAGAAGCUUGCUUCUUGGGUGGCGAGUGGCGAACGGGUGAGUAAUAUAUCGGAACGUACCGAGUAAUGGGGGAUAACUAAUCGAAAGAUUAGCUAAUACCGCAUAUUCUCUGAGGAGGAAAGCAGGGGACCUUCGGGCCUUGCGUUAUUCGAGCGGCCGAUAUCUGAUUAGCUAGUUGGUGGGGUAAAGGCCUACCAAGGCGACGAUCAGUAGCGGGUCUGAGAGGAUGAUCCGCCACACUGGGACUGAGACACGGCCCAGACUCCUACGGGAGGCAGCAGUGGGGAAUUUUGGACAAUGGGCGCAAGCCUGAUCCAGCCAUGCCGCGUGUCUGAAGAAGGCCUUCGGGUUGUAAAGGACUUUUGUCAGGGAAGAAAAGGCUGUUGCUAAUACCGACAGCUGAUGACGGUACCUGAAGAAUAAGCACCGGCUAACUACGUG